rnacentral:rRNA from 1 species
UACGGAGGGUGCAAGCGUUAUUCGGAUUUACUGGGCGUAAAGAGUGUUAAGGUGGUUCUAUAAGUUUGGUGUGAAAGCCCGGGGCUUAACCCCGGAAGUGCAUUGAAUACUGUAGAACUUGAGUGCAGGAGAGGAGGGCGGAAUUCCUGGUGUAGAGGUGAAAUUCGUAGAUAUCAGGAGGAACAACAGAGGCGAAGGCGGCUCUCUAGACUGCAACUGACACUGACACACGAAAGCGUGGGGAGCAAACAGG